GCACUUGAUGCUGUGGGGGGGGGACAGGGGGUAGGAGGCAGUGAGGAGGAGCAGGAGAAAGAGAAGGAAAAGAACGAAAUGAUGGAAGAAGCCGAGGGAAGAAGGAAAAGGGGAUGGCAUUAGGAGGAAGAGGAGAGGGAGGAGAAAAAGGGAGAAAAAAAAACGAGGGAAGAGGGAAAAGGGGUUGGCAUUAGGAGGAAGAGGAGAGGGAGGAGGAGAAAAAGGAAGAGAAGGAAAAGUCAACAAAUGAGAAAAAUAAGAAAAUGAAGUGGCAGGGGAGGAGAAAAUUAAAGGAAAAGGACAACAAUUGGGUGAAAAAAGAAAGAAGAAGGAGCAGUAGAGAAAAAUAAAAAGGAGGAAAAGGAAGCAGAAGAGACAUAGAAAGAUGGAAAAGGAGGAUUAAAAAAUAAGGAAGAAGAAAAAAUAGGACAGUAAGAAAAAGGGAAAGAAGGAAAGCAAGGAAGAUGAAGGGAAAGAAAAGUGUAAAGAGAAGAAAAAAGAAGAAUGAGGUGGGAUAGGAUAAGGGUAAGGAAGGGCAGGAUGGGGCAGGGGAUCCAAACUUAAUAAAAAAAAAAAAAUACAGCAUAGCACAGCACACCAACCAUCUCUCAAGCCAAAAAGAAGAAUAAGACUUAAGUGUACAGAAAAAUAAGAAACACACAGCCAGGGUGGACCGAGGACCCUCCAGCACCCUCCUCCACCCGGCGCUCCACUAGGCCAGGCUCACAAGCUGCCAUAGUAAGCUGCAGCGGCGGAGAGCGACACAUGUAAACAGACCAUUGACGUUGAUGCUCCGUUCCCUGGUGUAGAGGCUUGUUUGGGGUGUAAGGAAGAUGUUGAUGGAGUGUGUAUAGAGAGGUGUGAUGGGGUGUGAAUUGAAGGGAUACUGAUGGGAUAGUGAAGGGAGGUGUGAUGGGGAAUGUAUAGGGAGGUGGUGAAGGGAUAUGAAAAGAAGGGUGUGAAGGGGUAUGUAAAGAAGGAAGGUGGAGAUGGGGUAAUGAAGGGAGGUAUGUGGUGGUGGGGGUGGUGGGAUAUGGGAGGUGUGAUGGGCAAUGUAUAGGAAGGUGGUGAUGGGCUAUGAAAAGAAGGAUUGUGAAGGGGUAUGUAAAGAAGGGAGGUGGUGAUGGGGUAAUGAAGGGAGGUAUGUGUUGGUGGGGGUGAUUAAGAGUGUGUUUGAUAGCUUAUCCCAGUAGCAGCAACGAGCCCAGUUUGUGGCUUUACCGUGUAGCAGAGACGGGCCAAUUUUGUGCCAUGAUAUAAACCCCCCAAAAUAGAUGAUGCAUAAUCUGAUCACAAAUACAUUGAUAUAUAUUAUGAAAUGGUUUGUGCGAGGGGUGAUUUUUUCUCAUUUUUCUCGCCUGGAGGGACCAUUAAAAACAUGAUCCCUGCUGCUACCGGGUUAAUAUACACUUCAUUUCUAUUUUUCCAGAGUUGAUUUUUCCCUUGAUAUUAGAACUAACUAGAAUGGCAUAUGGGAAAAUCAACAAGUAUACCCUGAACACACUAACCAUCACACCCUCUAUUGCCUUGUGUGUGUGUGUGUGUGUGUGUGUGUGUGUUCAAGGGUAUGCAUUGGGAAGGGAGGUGAUGGGUGGAGAAAGUGAAGGGGGCGUAUGGCAUAUGAGAAUCAACAUAACAUACCCUGAACACACCAUCUGUCACACUCCAUUGCCUUGUGCGGAAGUAUGUGUGUUUGUGUGUGUUCAGGGGUAUGUGUGAGGAAGGGAGGUGAUGGGUGAUGGGUGGGGAAAGCAAAGGGGGUGUAUGGCAUAUGAGAAUCAACGAACAUACCCUGAACACACCAUCUGUCACACUCCAUUGCCUUGUGCGGAGGUGUGUGUGUGUUUGUGUGUGUUCAGGGGUAUGUGUGAGGGAGGGAGGUGAUGGUGAGGGGUGAUAGGGUGAGGGAAGAUAAGGGGAGGGGGUCACAGGUCUGGGUUGUGCUUCCAUUCACAUUUAACUCAUGUCUGAUUCUCUUCACAUCUCUUUUAAACAACACACACAGAAAAAGAAGAAAAAAAAGAUGCUUAUUCAUAUACACACUCACACACACACUCGCCCAGAUAUUCAUAAAGCUUAUAGUCUUAAAAUUGAAAUACUCACUCAUAUCUCUGAUCUUAAUUCACACCAGUUGUUCAUACAUAUUAAUACUAAACACACACACACACACACACACACACACACAGAUACA